rnacentral:rRNA from 1 species
UCCGGUGACUUGAGCGGAGGGGUCACACCCGUUCCCAUCUCGAACACGGCCGUUAAGCCCUCCAGCGCCGAUGGUACUUGGGGUAUUCCCCUGGGAGAGUAGGUCGUUGCCGGAA